rnacentral:misc_RNA from 1 species
GAAAUGCGAUAAGUAAUGUGAAUUGCAGAAUUCAGUGAAUCAUCGAAUCUUUGAACGCACAUUGCGCCCGCCAGUAUUCUGGCGGGCACGCCUGUUCGAGCGUCAUUACAACCCUCAGGCCCCCGGGCCUGGCGUUGGGGAUCGGCGGAAGCCCCCUGCGGGCACAACGCCGUCCCCCAAAUACAGUGGCGGUCCCGCCGCAGCUUCCAUUGCGUAGUAGCUAACACCUCGCAACUGGAGAGCAGCGCGGCCACGCCGUAAAACACCCAACUUCUGAAUGUUGACCUCGAAUCAGGUAGGAAUACCCGCUGAACUUAAGC